rnacentral:rRNA from 1 species
UGCGAACGCUGGCGGCAGGCCUAACACAUGCAAGUCGAACGAACUCUUCGGAGUUAGUGGCGGACGGGUGAGUAACACGUGGGAACGUGCCCUUAGGUUCGGAAUAACUCAGGGAAACUUGUGCUAAUACCGAAUGUGCCCUUCGGGGGAAAGGUUUAUCGCCUUUAGAGCGGCCCGCGUCUGAUUAGCUAGUUGGUGAGGUAAAGGCUCACCAAGGCGACGAUCAGUAGCUGGUCUGAGAGGAUGAUCAGCCACAUUGGGACUGAGACACGGACCAAACUCCUACGGGAGGCAACAGUGGGGAAUCUUGCGCAAUGGGCGAAAGCCUGACGUAGCCAUGCCGCGUGAAUGAUGAAGGUCUUAGGAUUGUAAAAUUCUUUCACCGGGGACGAUAAUGACGGUACCCGGAGAAUAAGUCCCGGCUAACUUCGUGCCAGCCGCCGCCGUAA